rnacentral:rRNA from 1 species
GAUGAACGCUGGCGGCGUGCCUAAUACAUGCAAGUCGAGCGAACAGACGAGGAGCUUGCUCCUCUGACGUUAGCGGCGGACGGGUGAGUAACACGUGGAUAACCUACCUAUAAGACUGGGAUAACUUCGGGAAACCGGAGCUAAUACCGGAUAAUAUAUUGAACCGCAUGGUUCAAUAGUGAAAGACGGUUUUGCUGUCACUUAUAGAUGGAUCCGCGCCGCAUUAGCUAGUUGGUAAGGUAACGGCUUACCAAGGCGACGAUGCGUAGCCGACCUGAGAGGGUGAUCGGCCACACUGGAACUGAGACACGGUCCAGACUCCUACGGGAGGCAGCAGUAGGGAAUCUUCCGCUAUGGGCGAAAGCCUGACGGAGCAACGCCGCGUGAGUGAUGAAGGUCUUCGGAUCGUAAAACUCUGUUAUUAGGGAAGAACAAAUGUGUAAGUAACUAUGCACGUCUUGACGGUACCUAAUCAGAAAGCCACGGCUAACUACGUG